AAAUGUUUGUAUUAAUUAUUGCAAACUCCUUUUUUUAUGUAAAGCUUAAAAUAACAUCAAGUGUAAUGAGUUAUAUCCUCAUUCAAGAAUCUGGAAAGGAAAAAAAAAAAUAAAGGAAUUCACAAAAAACAACAAUGUUCCUAAAAGAUCUACUCAUAGAGAACGGUUCUUUGUAGAUUCUACCUUAGAGAAGAUGAAUAGAAACCAGCUUCGUUUGAGAAAUUACAUUAUCUAGUAUUAUCUGUUUCUAAAAAACAGAUAUCCAAAAAUGGCGGCGAAACAUUUAAUUGCUUAUCUUCUUUCAGGCAGAACGUUCAGGUUGAUUUUUAUUGUUUACAUCAAUAUCAGUACGAAUAAAAGUCAUGUAUUUAUAUCCCUUAUACGCUCUUUAGAUUUCAUUGAUUAAAGAUAAUAUUUUGUGUGAUUUUUGUUGUAUUUUUUCUGGAAUUCUGUUUCUAUGGAGAAGAACUCGUUUCAGGGUCAUUACUGAUAAAAACCUGAUAGUUCAAGCUGAGAAGUGUAUACAAAAGUACAUAAAAGUAAAAAAGUCGCAAUACAAAGUGGGAGUUGGUAAUGACGAUACUCGGAAUAAAUUUAAGAACUCUUUAGAAGGCUUGUUUUGGGCUGGUAAUGCCAUUCUACACAAAAGUUUGGAAAUUAACAAAUGUAUGCUGGCUACAGACAAGCCGGGAAAUGGUGAUAGGAAAACUUGAUGGUUGUUUUGAGCUUAGUUAGUUAGAAAGCCAAAUCAAAGAAGAGUCAGAAAACCUUUUCUGUACAGGAAGAAGCAAAAAAAUCAGCAUUUUACCUAAAAAUGAAGUGCUCCAUGAAGUUCUUACGUUCUUAUCACGGAGCACCGCGGAAGAGCAUUUGGAAAAAAAUUUACGUCUCCUUUCUUACCGAUUUUAUAAAAUUUGCCCAGAGAUAGCAUUAAACCACGGACCUCUAGUUUCUUAGACAAACACCUUAACCAUUGCCCUUUGGUUGCUCUUUUGAUGAAGAUUUUGAAAUCCUUCAACCUAAGAAGAAGAAAGCUGAUAAAGGUCAGGUACUUAUUUUCCCUAUAGAUAUAAUGUCAAAAAUUACUAGAACAGCAAUUGGAAUGGGUAUUUCUUAAAAUUAAGCAAAUGCACUUAUUAGUUCUGUUGUUAACAGUUUGGUAGAAAUAUUGAUAAUAUUACUGUCCCUCAACUCUGGUCAAAAAAUCUUUAACAAAAUCAUACGGGAGGAUGGAGUUGUUUUGAGAUCUAACUUAAGAGAAAUGGUUAGAAACACUGACAAACCAACUGUUUUACAUUUAUAUGGAAAAAUCAUUCAAGAUUUUACAGGUGAUUGUAAAAGACCGUCAGCUGUCAACAGAUGAUUCAAAAGAACGUCUGUGUGUCGUUAAAAGAUGCAACAAUGAGACUUAUCUUCUUGGUUUGCCAGACCUGGACCAUCGAAUAGGAGAGACACAAUUUUCAGCAAUUCAGAAGUUAUUGGAUUAUUUUCAAACUAGCGAGUUCUUUCAUAUUCUAUGCUUUCACAUUACAUUACUAUGCAUGCACAAGGUUGACAAAAUUUCAUGGAUGAAAAUUGCUUAUGUUGGCUUGCAGACAUCAUGUAGGUGAAGUUCACAUAAGGCAUUUUUAUAAAACUGGUGCAAUUCAAAAAAUUGUUGGUCCCUAGAGUCCAUUGUUUAAAUUCUUAAAAAAGCACCGGCAUGAAAUUAACGCGAAGUAGGCAAAGGAUUCAGUCAUGUUCAACCAAUAAAAAUUUAGUGGUAACUAGGUGGAGGAGCAAGUUCGCUUAGCACUACAAACCUGAAAAAACCAUUAGAACAGUGGUAUAGUGAGAAACAGUUAAAUAAAUUCAAGUUGAAAAAAGCAAGCAUUACUCAUUGUUACACCUGUAAUACUGUUUCCAAAAAUAUUGUUAUUCUUUUUUUUAAGUAGACAUUGGAUAAACGUGUCAAUUAUAGUAAAAUAGCUGAGCUUGUAACUAUAUAUCCUGAGAAUUCACAAAACUGGAGCUAUCUCACAUGCAAGCUUUAUGGGCCAUGCUCUUUACAUCAUGAGGUUUAAGCUACUUCUGACACAAAUUAGACAGGUCAUUAUUCUGAGUGAAGACAUUUUCAAAUAGAUUGCUAUUAUUGCUGAUUAUACUUCUUUGUUCUGCGAUCCAUGGUUCUUGACAAGCGAGUUUGCAGAUUUCGCUGCCAACUUAUUAAAUUGACAAACAAACAUUAUAAUAAAAAUGUUAAUAAUUUGAAUAAAAAAUCUAAAACUAUUUAUAGGACCAGAGGAACUAUUGGCAGAUGUGCCACAAUACUAACUUUGAACCCGCAGCCAAAGUUGUUUUAAAAUCAUAGCAAAAUCAUACCCGGUACACGGAUCCUACUACAAUUGUAAUGUUGCCAGCCUCUUCUGACAGUGAAAAUUAAAAGAAUAUGGAAGAUAUGGUAAAGAUUUUAUACUAGACAGAAAGAGAUAAACACAACAAUUAUAAAGUUGCGAGAAUCAGAGCAGUUCUUCCAAAUAUUUCUAGUGGUUUGAUGCAUAUGUUUCUAAGGACUCAUGGUUAAUCUUUACUAUCCUGGGACAUAGUAUGGAAAAAUGCAUCUGGCUGAAUUUUUAUGGCAUUUUGAGUUCCAGAACUUUUUCAAAUCUGUUGAUGAGGUCAACGUUUCAUCCGAAAGAGCAGUAAAACUCAUUUAAGACAAUGUGGAGCGCGUUACGAGUGAAAGAAAACUACGGGAUCUGCCCCAAUUAAAGAAUGCUUGGAAAAUACCUGGGAAACAGUUAAAAAUGGGCGUACAAGAAGUCAGCUACUGCCGUCGCUUUAACAUUGGUUGUUUCACAGACAGUUUUUGUUGCUUUGCAUCCUCUUACUUCAGCUGGAUAUUCCCCUAGUGAUUCCAACUUGUAAAAUCCUCAUCAAGUUUCUAAGACACUUCCAAGUUUUAAUUCAUUUUAAAAACAGUUGUUUUGAAAUAUAUACUUUUUUAUCGA
rnacentral:lncRNA from 1 species